CGGAGCCUACAGUGACCGCAGAAGCUAGUCAUAAUUCAGUGGGGUGAGGCGACUUUCUAUACCGUCUCUUAAGGACCCCGUGGUGACCUAAUCUGUGCCUGCUGCGGGUUACGAAUGUGGCGGCGCUGACCAAUGCGAGUCCGUCUGUGGUGGCAGGACACUUGGCUGGUGUCAGGGAAAAGAUCCUUCACGUUGACAUUCUCUGGAAGCAAUCACUCACCACAUGCCUGGACUCUCUCUCCCCACUCCCGGACACAGCGAAUGCCGGCUCGUGCUUCAAGGGUGGGGAUGCAGGUGCUGGCUUGACUUUUUAAUGACUUGAGCCACGAGAAGAUUGGUGGGGGGAUGUAGUACCCAGCGAGCAAUAAUGAUUAUGAUUGUGAUGAUGGCUUUACUGUCUCUGUGAUACGACCUGCUUAAAUAGUAUAUUCUCUUUUUCUAGGUGUCAUAAAAGAAAAAAAAAUAGAGUAUAUGAAUUGUCACUUUUUUGUAUGUAGGUGUUACAAAAGAAAAAAAAAAACUAGAGAAUGUAAU